rnacentral:rRNA from 1 species
GAUGAACGCUGGCGGCGUGCCUAAUACAUGCAAGUCGAGCGAACCUCUUCGGAGGUUAGCGGCGGACGGGUGAGUAACACGUGGGUAACCUGCCUGUAAGACUGGGAUAACUUCGGGAAACCGAAGCUAAUACCGGAUACCUUUUUGAGUCGCAUGACUCGAAAUGGAAAGACGGCUUCGGCUGUCACUUACAGAUGGACCCGCGUCGCAUUAGCUAGUUGGUGAGGUAACGGCUCACCAAGGCGACGACGCGUAGCCGACCUGAGAGGGUGAUCGGCCACACUGGGACUGAGACACGGCCCAGACUCCUACGGGAGGCAGCAGUAGGGAAUCUUCGGCAAUGGGCGAAAGCCUGACCGAGCAACGCCGCGUGAGUGAUGAAGGCUUUCGGGUCGUAAAACUCUGUUGUUAGGGAAGAACAAGUACGAGAGUAACUGCUCGUACCUUGACGGUACCUAACCAGAAAGCCACGGCUAACUACGUGCCAGCCGCCGCGGUAACAC